UACGGGGGGGGCAAGCGUUGUUCGGAAUUACUGGGCGUAAAGGGCUCGUAGGUGGUCAACUAAGUCAUACGUGAAAUCCCUCGGCUUAACCGGGGAACUGCGCCUGAUACUGGUUGACUUGAGUUUGGGAGAGGGACGCGGAAUUCCAGGUGUAGCGGUGAAAUGCGUAGAUAUCGGGAGGAACACCAGUGGCGAAGGCGACUACCUGGCCUGUUCUUGACGCUGAGGCGCGAAAAGCUAGGGGAGCAAACGGG
rnacentral:rRNA from 1 species